GGUACACUGUCAGAGUGACAGCAUACUUUGAUGAAAUUGUGCUAAAACUGGCUGCACUGAUAGAUUUGUUUUUGAUUGUUUGACACUUCUAAAUAUUUUAGUUUUCUGCAGAAAAAAUCUCAGAAAACUAACGACUGAUUUUUGUCGACGUCGGGCACCAGUUACAGUUACAGUUUGAAAUUAUAUCUCACCUCGGAUGAACGCGCCUGUUAUGUGUUACCCCGCAACAGCUGACUUAACUGAUUGUUCAAAUCCUCGAAUUUAUCCUACUCGCUGUCGUUCAUGUUUUUAUUACUUUCCCCUAGUUCUACACAAUCAUUAGCCAUUGGAUCGGUUCGUGAUUUUAGGGAAUAGUAAACGUUAUGAAAAAAUCCAUUGUAUAAUAUAAUUAUAGUGUAUAGUUCAUGAAUCCGAAGUGGUUCAAAAGGAUGUCGCUGUACAGAUUCAGAGCGGCCGCUUCCAGCUCAGCAAAAGUGAAAGCCACUUGACGGUUAAAUUCGUAGUGUGUCCGCUGAUAGCGCUCAGGGACAGAAAAAUCUCAUAGGUCAGAGUCGCUUCCGACUUCGUUACCGUCAACAUUAAACACAACAGCAAGAUACUUGGAAAGGACUUUCUCGUUCGAACAAACAUAAUGGAAGCGUAUUCUACACGCACAUAUUCACUCGGGCCAACCGUGUGACUCAUUUGGAAAAAGGACUCAUCGUCGGUUUCAUGGCAGCGAAGUGAGCAGACAAAAAAGGCAUCGUUUUUUUUCCACAUGAUCGUUCUGAGCAAAAUUCAGCGAUUUGCCAGGCAUAAACCACCGAUGAGACAGUACCCGUUCGGAUUCAGGACGUUUUCCCAUACAUUGCAACCGGUCGAAGCGAUGGCAAGCGAUGCAGAUAACUGGGUCAAAAAGGCGGAGGUUCUGGGAAUUUCUGCACUCGUUAGCGAUCUGAGUAUGACCAAGGACAAGGAAUCAGAACCGGCGACUGACAGUCCAGAGAAAGAGAAUGCGGAAAACCCUUCUAGUCCAUAGCUCCUGAAGAAAAACGAGCUGAAGCGAAUAUGGAGAAACAGCUUCCUCCACGGAAAAUGCAGAGGCAUGCAACGCGGCGGAUGCAAGUUUGCUAAUUGAAAUUAUUCGCAAAGAUCUAGUAGAAUUAUACUGGAGGUGCUGCGAAACGAUCCUUUUUCGACGCUAUACUCGGUUAAAACUAUCGACGCUUUGCAGCUGAUGCCGGAACUGCCCACCCCGAGAGCAGAUGAGCGCUGGGGAAUGUUUUCAGCCACCUGGAGGAGGAAGUUAAGCGCGGAAGAAAUGUUACCAGACUUUGCCGAUCUGGUAUCUGGACUUUUUUGAUGAUCUCAUAGAGAUUGGGUGUGCAGAUGGGCGUUUAAAGUUCUGGGAGGGAACGACUGGUAACUUUUAGGAUAUAUAUGAAGCUGAAAACAACCACAACAAUGGGGUAACUAACAAAAACCUCGCUGGUGACAAAGUGAUAGUCGCACGGUUGAGUGAACGAAUCGAUUUUCUGAGACUGGAAACGUACACGUAAGGUUUUCAGAUCGAUUGGGGAUUUACGUCUGCAUAUGGGCGAAGUAAGUUCUAUGUUUCAAGCAAUUUUUUAAGCUCACCUAGGGCGCAGACAGAUUUUACUUGUUCUUUUAAAAUACUGUAUAUUCUAAGUCAUUUAAUUUUCAGUCUGUAAUGAGUAUGUCAUCAAGUGCCUUAAUUCUUUUUCUUUUUAGCCCACGUACGCAGCGGUUCGGCAGGAAGCAUUAGUUUAUUUCAGCAACUCGCCGGCUCAAAUCCGUCCACAGCGUUGCCAGCUCAACAUCACGCAUCCGAGGAGGAGCUUCGAUGUAUCCUGGAGUUUCACCAGCAGGGUCACCGGUGACAUGUUUGGAAGUGGCGGGCGGUACAGUCAUUACUGGCAGCCAGGGCCACACUGUUAACGUGUUCCGGCUUGAUAGCCACCUAUUGCAGUUCACCCUAAACGGCCAUUGUAGGACCGCACACACAUGUGUUUUCAUAGACCAGUGGCAGGCCGAGAUGGGCGCAUCUGGUUGCCAGGAUGGUGUGCUAUGUGUGUGGGACUUGAUACGGGGUGCCUGUAUGUACAAAAUUGAAGCCCAUGACGACAUGACGUCGCACUUGCCUGUUCCCCGAGUUACGCAAUAUCGCUCGGACUGAACGAACGAAUACGGUUUUGGGAUAGAUUUCAGGGUCAGCCGCUCAACACCAUGACCGUCAGUCAUGCAUAUUCAUCGCUUGUGAUGCUGACGCUUCUGAACGAAGCCAUUGCUAGCACGAGUUUUUGAUUUGGAAGGAUAGUUGCUGAGGACCAUUCUCACAAUAAGUUUAUAAUAUCCAUUACAUGAUCAAAUGCGCUGAUGGGUUAGGCUUUGGAUUCGGCUAUAUUCCAUCGUCAUUGAAGCUAGAUCAUAGAAUCAUGUUAAUUUGACAGACUGCAAGUGUUACUAGUAGCACAAACAGCUAGCAGCCCAGCUAGUAUUGUUCUUUCUGCUUGCAACCAACCUGGUUAUAUUGAUGUUAAUGCUAAAUUCGCUGUUGCAGCUGUAUGGUCGCUAUACUGUUCCAUGUGUUAUGGGAUUCGCUAUUAACAUGGGACAGUGUUAUGCUUAGAGCACCAGAUUCUAAAAGCGACCAAUUUUGGCCAAUCACUGGAGACAAAAU